UACGUAGGGAGCAAGCGUUGUCCGGAAUCAUUGGGCGUAAAGCGCGCGUAGGCGGCCCUGUAAGUCCGCUGUGAAAAUCAAAGGCUCAACCUUUGAAAGCCGGUGGAUACUGCAGGGCUAGAGUCCGGAAGAGGCGAGUGGAAUUCCUGGUGUAGCGGUGGAAUGACGCAGGAUAUCAGGAGGAACGACCUGUGGCGAAA
rnacentral:rRNA from 1 species